rnacentral:rRNA from 1 species
CAGUAGCCACGGUAACACGGAGGGUGCAAGCGUUAAUCGGAAUUACUGGGCGUAAAGCGUGCGUAGGCGGUUCGUUAAGUCUGUUGUGAAAGCCCCGGGCUCAACCUGGGAAUGGCAAUGGAUACUGGCGAGCUAGAGUGUGUCAGAGGAUGGUGGAAUUCCCAGUGUAGGGGUGAAAUUCGUAGAUAUUGGGAAGAACACCGGUGGCGAAGGCGGCUUACUGGCUCAUUCUAGACGCUGAGGUGCGAAAGCGUGGGGAGCAAACAGGAUUAGAUACCCCGGUAGUCCCUGUCUCUUAUAC